AAGGGUUUCGGCUCGUAAAACUCUGUUGUUAAAGAAGAACAUAUCUGAGAGUAACUGUUCAGGUAUUGACGGUAUUUAACCAGAAAGCCACGGCUAACUACGUGCCAGCAGCCGCGGUAAUACGUAGGUGGCAAGCGUUGUCCGGAUUUAUUGGGCGUAAAGCGAGCGCAGGCGGUUUUUUAAGUCUGAUGUGAAAGCCUUCGGCUCAACCGAAGAAGUGCAUCGGAAACUGGGAAACUUGAGUGCAGAAGAGGACAGUGGAACUCCAUGUGUAGCGGUGAAAUGCGUAGAUAUAUGGAAGAACACCAGUGGCGAAGGCGGCUGUCUGGUCUGUAACUGACGCUGAGGCUCGAAAGUAUGGGUAGCAAACAGGAUUAGAUACCCUGGUAGUCCAUACCGUAAACGAUGAAUGCUAAGUGUUGGAGGGUUUCCGCCCUUCAGUGCUGCAGCUAACGCAUUAAGCAUUCCGCCUGGGGAGUACGGCCGCAAGGCUGAAACUCAAAGGAAUUGACGGGGGCCCGCACAAGCGGUGGAGCAUGUGGUUUAAUUCGAAGCUACGCGAAGAACCUUACCAGGUCUUGACAUACUAUGCAAAUCUAAGAGAUUAGACGUUCCCUUCGGGGACAUGGAUACAGGUGGUGCAUGGUUGUCGUCAGCUCGUGUCGUGAGAUGUUGGGUUAAGUCCCGCAACGAGCGCAACCCUUAUUAUCAGUUGCCAGCAUUAAGUUGGGCACUCUGGUGAGACUGCCGGUGACAAACCGGAGGAAGGUGGGGAUGACGUCAAAUCAUCAUGCCCCUUAUGACCUGGGCUACACACGUGCUACAAUGGAUGGUACAACGAGUUGCGAACUCGCGAGAGUAAGCUAAUCUCUUAAAGCCAUUCUCAGUUCGGAUUGUAGGCUGCAACUCGCCUACAUGAAGUCGGAAUCGCUAGUAAUCGCGGAUCAGCAUGCCGCGGUGAAUACGUUCCCGGGCCUUGUACACACCGCCCGUCACACCAUGAGAGUUUGUAACACCCAAAGUCGGUGGGGUAACCUUUUAGGAACCAGCC
rnacentral:rRNA from 2 species